AGUGAACGCGGCGGCGUGCCUAAUACAUGCAAGUCGAACGGACAAGUAAGAGCUUGCUCUUAUGAGUUAGUGGCGCACGGGUGAGUAAUGUAUAGCUAAUCUGCCCUACACUAGAGGACAACAGUUGGAAACGACUGCUAAUACUCUAUACUCCUGUCUUACAUAAGUUAGAUAGGGAAAGUUUUUCGGUGUAGGAUGAGGCUAUAUUGUAUCAGCUAGUUGGUGAGGUAAUGGCUUACCAAGGCUAUGACGCAUAACUGGUCUGAGAGGAUGAUCAGUCACACUGGAACUGAGACACGGUCCAGACUCCUACGGGAGGCAGCAGUAGGGAAUAUUGCUCAAUGGGGGAAACCCUGAAGCAGCAACGCCGCGUGGAGGAUGACACUUUUCGGAGCGUAAACUCCUUUUGUUAGGGAAGAACAAUGACG
rnacentral:rRNA from 1 species